rnacentral:misc_RNA from 1 species
GAUGAAGAACGUAGCGAAAUGCGAUAAGUAGUGUGAAUUGCAGAAUUCAGUGAAUCAUCGAAUCUUUGAACGCACAAUGCGCCCUUUGGUAUUCCUUAGGGCAUGCCUGUUCGAGCGUCAUUUAAACCUUCAAGCUCAGCUUGGUGUUGGGUGACUGUCCGCUUCACCGCGGACUCGCCUCAAAAUUAUUGGCGGCCGGUACAUUGGCUUCGAGCGCAGCAGAAACGCGAACUCGGGCCCGUCGUAUUGGCUCCCAGAAGCUAUCUUCACAAUUUUGACCUCGGAUCAGGUAGGGAUACCCGCUGAACUUAAGCAUAUCAAUAAGCGGAGGA